AAGGUGGGGAUGACGUCAAAUCAUCAUGCCCCUUAUGACCUGGGCUACACACGUGCUACAAUGGACGGUACAACGAGUCGCGAAACCGCGAGGUCAAGCUAAUCUCUUAAAGCCGUUCUCAGUUCGGAUUGUAGGCUGCAACUCGCCUACAUGAAGUUGGAAUCGCUAGUAAUCGUGGAUCAGCAUGCCACGGUGAAUACGUUCCCGGGCCUUGUACACACCGCCCGUCACACCAUGAGAGUUUGUAACACCCAAAGCCGGUGAGGUAACCUUCGGGGACCAGCCGUCUAAGGUGGGACAGAUGAUUAGGGUGAAGUCGUAACAAGGUAGCCGUAGGAGAACCUGCGGCUGGAUCACCUCCUUUCUAAGGAA
rnacentral:rRNA from 1 species